AUUCAGGAGUUUGUGAAAUCAGACAAACACUCAGAGAAGAAACUAUCUGCUGCUCACUGCUCAACAAUCGCCUACAUGCUUCAGAUGUCAGAGGAGCUGCUGGAUGAGCUGGACCUCAAAAAAUACAACACAUCAGAUGAGGGUAGAAGAAGACUGAUUCUUCUGUGUUCAACUGCAGAGAAGCCCUUUCUAGAAUUAUCACACUAUGUCCUGAGAGAGCUGGAUCUAAGUAACAGUGACCUGGGGGAUUCAGGAGUGAAGCUGAUGGCAUGAAGAGUCCAAACUGUGAGCUGGAGACACUGAGGUUGUCAGGCUGUAUGGUGACAAAGCAAGGCUGUGUUUAUUUGUCUUCUGCUCUGAGUUUAACCCCUCACACCUAAGAGAGCUGGAUCUGAGCUACAAUCACCCAGGAGAAUCAGGAGUCCAGCUGCUCAACCACAAACUGGAGGAUCCAAACUGUAAACUGGAGAAACU